ACUGUCUAUAAUAAAUUCAUUUAUAAAAGUUACACUAGUCUUGCUUGACACAUUGCGCUUCUAAAUUUGUCUUUAAAAAAAUGCCUUCAGAAUAAAAAUUUUACAUAGUUCCCAUACUAUAAUUACUAUAUAAGAUAUCUUUGUUCUGUCAAUAAAUCAAUGAAUGAAAUUUAAAAAGAACCCGCUGAAGUCUUCAGAAGAUUUAAAUUUGAUUAUUUUCUGCAUGUUAUACGUUUUUUGGUGCCGUCUUCAAUUACCAGGGAAUAUCAUCCUGCUUCCCUAUCUCUCACGUCUUCAUAUAUUAACUAUAAUUUGCAUGUUUCUUUAAAGCUUCUUUUAAUUACCCGGCGUCUUCAUAUGAUUGUAAAUUAACAAUAUAACGACAAAUACAACUGUAUUUCUUAAUUUCCCCUGGACUUUGUUAAUACACCAGUGCACAUAUUACACGUUUACCUGAAUAUAUACGCAUCCGCUUUUGACGAAGUACUUCCUUCAACAAAAUGGCAGCGCAAGGUUCUGGUUAUGCUGUGUUAUCCCGCUGUGUAUAGAUUCCUGUAAAGAUGUAACUCACACGUGCCCGAAUUGUAGACAUGUUGUUGGGAAGUAUAGCCGAAUGUGAUAACUGUGAACCUCUGAUAAUCAAGCUUCUGUAUAGCUAUUCAAUCCUCUGUUAUAUACUUUUUUUCAUACUCCAGGCACUGACCAAUCAUCUUGAAUUCCUUUUAGGGGAAGAUGUAGGAGCAUGGAAUUUAUUGGAAUUCAAUAACAAAUUCUUGGUCAUGUACGUUAUGAAUUUGUUUGUUUGUUUGACAUAAGUAAAAAUUGUUAGUCCUGAGAAAAUAAAACACGCGUAUGAUGCCCCCCCUCCCCCUUUGUUGGUCUGUGCCUUAUAUAAAGUAUUUGCAUGUCUUCAGUGUAUGCCCUAGAGAUUAAACUGUUAGUAAUUACUUAAUAUGUGAUAAGCCUACAUUGCUGUGUUAAUUAUGCAUACUUUUUAACAACUUGAUUAAUGUCCAUUUAUUCUGCACAAAUGUGUAGUUUAUUAUUAUACAAGUACUUUAUAGAUCGGUCAUAUAAAAAAAACAUUAUCGGUUCGAA